rnacentral:misc_RNA from 1 species
AAGUCGUAACAAGGUUUCCGUAGGUGAACCUGCGGAAGGAUCAUUAUUGAAAUGCUUUGGAGAAGUACUGUUGCUGGCCUCUUAACAGAGGCAUGUGCACGUCUUCUUUAAAUCUAUUCAUCCACCUGUGCACUUUUUGUAGAAGUUCUUGUGAGGUUUUGGUUGUGGACUUAGGUCUGCAGUUGAUUCUUUGCGAGUCUUCUAUGUCUUACAAACUCUAUUAGUAUGUUUUAGAAUGUCUUUUAUUGGGACUUCAUUGGCCCUUUAAACUUUAUACAACUUUCAGCAACGGAUCUCUUGGCUCUCCCAUCGAUGAAGAACGCAGCGAAAUGCGAUAAGUAAUGUGAAUUGCAGAAUUCAGUGAAUCAUCGAAUCUUUGAACGCACCUUGCGCCCUUUGGUAUUCCGAAGGGCAUGCCUGUUUGAGUGUCAUUAAAUUCUCAACUUCAAUAGUUUUUAUAGCUCAUUGAAGCUUGGAUGUGGGAGCUUGCUGGCGUCUUAGAUGUUCGGCUCUCCUUAAAAGCAUUAGUGGAAACUCGUUUGUUGGACCACCCUUGGUGUGAUAAUUAUCUACGCCUUGGUCAGUCUGGCAGCUCUGGUUUGAUUGUCCUCAGGCGUUCCAGUGGAGCGUUCUGGUUGGGGCGGCUGCAUUAAUUUGCUCUGCCUGCAAUAAGAUCUCACUAGAGUAGGGAUGUCUGCUUUCUAACCGUCUGUGUAUUCAGACAAUUUAUUGACUAUUUGACCUCAAAUCAGGUAGGACUACCCGCUGAACUUAAGCAUAUCAAUAAGCGGAGGAAAAGAAACUAACAAGGAUUCCCCUAGUAACUGCGAGUGAAGUGGGAAGAGCUCAAAUUUGUAAUCUAGCGGCCUUUGGCCGUCCGAGUUGUAAUCUAAAGAA